AUCCAGCACGUAGUAGGCAAUCACCACUGAUUAAAUAAAUGAAUCAAUUCAGUGAAUGAAUGAACUCAUUAGGCACUCUUCAUUUUACUUUCCCUUCUAAUUGAUCAAUCAGCACUCAUUAAUAUCUCACUGCCAUUCUUAUCUUUUAUUUAGAAAAAUUACUGUCCUGUUCUGAAAUUAUCAAAUUACUAAUAUACUAUCAUUAACAAUUGCUAUGACAAAGUUUUCUCACUGCAAACUAUCCAAUGAACAUUUGUUAUUUACUAGCAGAAUGUGGCUUUAUGCUUGCUCUUACAAGUUUAAUAAUAGGUAAUAUAUAUAUUUUGACACAUUGUAGAUCUCAGCAACUGGGACCUAGUAGACAUAAUUCAAUCUAACCAAACACUCAUUAUGUACAACACUCCAUGGCAUGAGCCUUGUACAUAAAAGAUCAACAUACAAAUUCCCAGAAAUCCCUCAAGCGAUAUAAAAGUGUUUAAACUAUGAUUACACUAAAAAAAUAACAAGCAUUGUAUGACAUUUUCUGAAAAACUGUAGGUUGUUUUUAAAAAGUUAUCCAUGUUAAUCUAGGUUCUCUACAAAACAGAUGGCAAGAUGGCAUUAAGUCUGAAAGAGAUUUAUUAGAGGAGAUAUCUGUGAAUUAUGAAGGAGGGGAGUAGGUAGGGUUUGACACCUGUGAAGGAGAGAGUGAAGGAAAGGAGAAUGGGGUAGGAAGAAUCUCAGACAGUAGCAUGUUUCUAAGAAAAUUCUGGGCAAUCUAAUGGGAAAUCCUUGAGCCAAUGUUGCCCAUCAGGGGACUGGGUCAGUGUUAAUAGUCCUGCCAUUCUCACUCAUUGGCUGGGAACAGCAGGAAUACAGUGGUAGAUCCCAUGGGGUAGCAGCUAGGGUUCUGUCAACUCUGCUUCUCACAGGAGGAGAUCUGGGUGAUGCAUUUCCAUGGCUACCGCAUCAUCUUUUGUAGGUACCAAAUUGAUAGUCUUCAAAUUUUUCAUGAAUGUUUGAUAGACAUACAGACCACAAGUGUUUUCAUGUCACCAAAUUUUACCUAUAUAUUUGAUACUGUAAUGAAACAUGUUACUACUAACAGAGGUUAAGAGUUAUCUUAAUACAACACUUUGGUUGUUAUAUAUUUUAGAUUAGCUUUUGAAGUAUAUAAGUUGUCUUUUUUCUAUUGCACAUCAUGAUAGUUAGUGUAGAACACAAGCAAAACUAUACAACGAAAAUUUAACAUACUAUUUUUCUUUUUUUCUUUU
rnacentral:lncRNA from 1 species